UGAGAAUUGCCUUAAAAUACUCAAGGAAAAAAAUCCUACUGCUGGGUGUGGGAGGUGCUUGAUGAAAUGAGAUCUGCAAAUUGUUAAUAGUGAUUCCUGAGUGAGCACAUAUACAGUACUGUAGUCUUGAAGAGAAAAUUCAGUCUCCAACAGAAGAAACAGAAAUCUUUUAUCACAGAGGGGUGUAGGCGUGAGUUUUAGGUGAAUUUAUGUGGUUCCUGCUUGAAAACCUUCCCCUCUCCAGGUUCGGUUUAGAGAACUUUGCCACAGGUCUUCUGGGGACCCCAGAGGUGUCUGUGCUGACAAGGCGACUUCAGAUUCCAUACUGAGAUCGUUCCCAGGCUGGCGUCUCUGGGGUUUUUAAGGCUGGCUGGAGAAGACAGUGGGAGGGUGCCCCGUCUGACACCCCUGGGGUUGCUGAGGGAACGGUUGGAGUGGGGAUCGGCCUGCGAAAGGAUACUGUGAAAUCACUAAUUAACUAAUAAACCUGUCUCAAGUUGAGGAUUUGAAGAAAGAA
rnacentral:lncRNA from 1 species